UACGGAGGGAGCUAGCGUUGUUCGGAAUUACUGGGCGUAAAGCGCGCGUAGGCGGCUUUGUAAGUUAGAGGUGAAAGCCCGGAGCUCAACUCCGGAACUGCCUUUAAAACUGCAUCGCUUGAAUCCAGGAGAGGUGAGUGGAAUUCCGAGUGUAGAGGUGAAAUUCGUAGAUAUUCGGAAGAACACCAGUGGCGAAGGCGGCUCACUGGACUGGUAUUGACGCUGAGGUGGGAAAGCGUGGGGAGCAAACAGG
rnacentral:rRNA from 1 species